GGGCGUUUAGCUCAGUUGGGAGAGCAUCUGCCUUACAAGCAGGGGGUCAUAGGUUCAAGUCCUAUAACGCCCA
rnacentral:tRNA from 1 species